UUUAAACCCAAAGAAUUUGGCGGUACUUUAUUCCAUUCAGAGGAACCUACCCCGUGAUUGAUAGUACACGAUUAACUUUACUUAAUUUAUUUGUUUGUAUAUCUCCGUUAUCAGAAAAUCUUUUUAGAGAUGAAAUUUUCAUAAUUUAUGAUUAUAAAGUAUUUCAGGUCAAGGUGCAGUUUAUAAUUAAGAGGAGGUGGGUUACAAUAAAUUUUUGUUUAUUACGGUUAUUUUAAUGAAAUAUUAAAAAUUAAGGUGGAUUUGAUAGUAAAUUAAUUAAUUUAAUUUAAUUGAUAUG
rnacentral:rRNA from 1 species